rnacentral:rRNA from 1 species
ACUCCUACGGAAGGCAGCAGUGGGGAAUAUUGCACAAUGGGCGAAAGCCUGAUGCAGCGACGCCGCGUGAGGGAUGAAGGCCUUCGGGUUGUAAACCUCUUUCAGCAGGGAAGAAGCUUUCGGGUGACGGUACCUGCAGAAGAAGCACCGGCUAACUACGUGCCAGCAGCCGCGGUAAU